rnacentral:rRNA from 1 species
GAUGAACGCUGGCUACAGGCUUAACACAUGCAAGUCGAGGGGAAACGACGGGGAAGCUUGCUUCCCCGGGCGUCGACCGGCGCACGGGUGAGUAACGCGUAUCCAACCUGCCUCUGACUGAGGGAUAACCCGUCGAAAGUCGGCCUAAUACCUCAUGGCAUCGUCUGCGGGCAUCCAACGACGAUUAAAGAUUUCAUCGGUCAGGGAUGGGGAUGCGUCUGAUUAGCUUGUUGGCGGGGUAACGGCCCACCAAGGCUACGAUCAGUAGGGGUUCUGAGAGGAAGGUCCCCCACAUUGGAACUGAGACACGGUCCAAACUCCUACGGGAGGCAGCAGUGAGGAAUAUUGGUCAAUGGGCGGGAGCCUGAACCAGCCAAGUAGCGUGCAGGAGGACGGCCCUAUGGGUGGUAAACUGCUUUUAUGCGGGGAUAAAGUGAGGGACGUGUCCUUCAUUGCAGGUACCGCAUGAAUAAGGACCGGCUAAUCCCGUG